rnacentral:rRNA from 1 species
UACGUAGGGACCAAGCGUUGUUCGGAUUUACUGGGCGUAAAGGGCGCGUAGGCGGCUUAACAAGUCACUUGUGAAAUCUCCGGGCUUAACUCGGAACGGCCAAGUGAAACUGUCAAGCUAGAGUGCAGAAGGGGCAAUCGGAAUUCUUGGUGUAGCGGUGAAAUGCGUAGAUAUCUGGAGGAACACCGGUGGCGAAGGCGACAUCCUGGACCGGUAUUGACGCUGAGGCGCGAAAGCCAGGGGAGCAAACGGG